AACAGCGUCAGAAGCAUACUGAGCCUUGGAUGAGGCGAAUGAGAAAGCAGACAAGUUAUUUGCCACUUGGACUGAAGUAUUUUCCAGCACAGCGACUCCAGUGAGCACGGGGCACUGAUGCAGCGUCUUUUAUAAUUAGCAGCGGAGUGAAAUCAGAGGGACUACCACGCCUUAAACACAGCUCUUUUUAAAUCACCACUAAAGCCACAUUCAGCAGAUUAACUACAUCAAGAUUAAAGAAGUCCACACUCAUUUUUUAAUCAUCUGUGCUGUUGAAGGAGAAGAAAAGGACUGGGCAGCUGAGAAGCAGCUUGGUGUGAAUAUGGAGGACACGGAGAGGGCCGAAACAAAUUCCCAGAGUUCAUCAGGCACGAAACACAGCAGAUGGUGGCAGUGAUGAAGAGGGAGGGAACUGAUUGGCUGCUGCAGAGACGGAUGGCUACUCAGUUAGACUUGAUGAAGAAUGUAACAGUCCAUUGGGAGGAUAGGCACAGUAUUCUAAACAAUAGAAGCAGGGGACCAGAUGUGCACCUACUGAAUGUACUGAAUUUGCUCAGCUUUCUGUAUUACUGGAUGCCUCCAAUCCCAACAUACUACAAAUUGUUGUCUCACUUCUGUAGUACUGGACAUGGCUGCACAUGCAUGCAACAAGUAAACACCUCAUUAGUUAAGUGAUAUGUAUAAAGGCCAUGAGAUGAACAUACGUUCCUUGAACUUUUUAUCAGUAUCAAUCAAUCACUCUUUAUUUUAACUUAGAAAUGCAUUUAGGAUGACUCACAAUUACAGUGCAGCCUAACAAAUAAUAAGAUAAUGAUGAAAACAAGCCAAACAAUGAUCUUACACUGCAUUUCAAAAGUUUGGAAUGAAUGUUUAUCAAUGUAUAAAUGAUUAUGUUAAUUAAAGUAAUAUCUGUGAAUGUCUAAUAUAAAAAAAUGAAAAGACCA